GGCAUAUGCUGAGUAAGUGCUGAUCUGCCCAAUUCUACAGUUCCCUUUCAACAGAGAGAAGGAAGGAUGGGCAAUGAAAAAAUUAUUUCUAUAGUACAGGAAAUGAUGCUUUAGGUUGUAACAGUCAAACAGCCCAUUACAGGAUUGCAUACAGACAUAUGUCAGCAACAGCCAAUAGGAGCAAGCCCUUUAAAGGGUGUCACAGCACAGAGCCAGGUACAAAAACUGCUGCACAGAAAGAAUUAACAAGAUCCCAAACUGAAUGAUCCUCCUUUACAUCUCGUACUGAAACUCUUGGGUGCCUUGGGUUCAUGCCACAACGACUCAAUUCUGAAGUGAGAGUUUUCUGUCUACAGAACUUUCUGAAAACGACAAAUAACCAAAGAUCCACAAUCAACAGAAGUGGCUCCCACGUGUCAGAAACGCUCAAGGACCUCAGUCUUUUCUCUUAAGCCUUCAACUGAUUGGAUGGAGCCCACCCAGAUUAUGGAGGGCCUUCUGCUUUUCUCGAAGUCUAUUGGUUUAAAUAUUAAGCACAUCUAAAAAAUACCUUCACAGUAACAUCUGGCCUUGUGACUGAUGACAUACCCGGGCGCUAUGGCUGAUCGAAGUUGACACAUAAAAUUGACCACCACAGUUCCUCGAAGCAGGGCCUGGGUCUCACUGGACUCUGUGUCCUCAGGGCUGGCCGCUGUGCCCUGCACAGUGGGUGCCCAGGAUGUGGAGGUCCGUGAAGAGGUCAAGUUCAAAAGCUCUCAGAAUGACUUUGGAGAAAGCAAGGGAAGGGAAAGAAUUUUAUGCUCAGCACAGAAGAUCGAACGUGAGUCCGGGAAGCCACUGGGAAUCAUCGAAGAGUUUUUGCUUAGAGAGGUGAACGUGGCAGUGACGUGCAGGGGCCUUGGCAGGUGGCCUCACCUCUCUGGACUCAGACCUUGCUUCCAUGGGAUGGCCAUAAACUGGCUACCUGUAGGCAGGAUCCAGCUUGCAGUCAGGUUUGUUGAUUCAGGUAAAAUUUAUUUUAUUUUAUUUUAUUUUAUUUUUUACUUUUUACUUUUUAAAUGUUUAUUUAAUUUAUUUAUAUUAAUUAAAUGUAUUAUUAAUUUAUUUAA